AGGACGAACGCUGGCGGCGUGCUUAACACAUGCAAGUCGAGCGGUAAGGCCUUUCGGGGUACACGAGCGGCGAACGGGUGAGUAACACGUGGGUGAUCUGCCCUGCACUUCGGGAUAAGCCUGGGGAAACUGGGUCUAAUACCGGAUAUGACCUCCUAUCGCAUGGUGGGUGGUGGAAAGAUUUAUCGGUGCAGGAUGGGCCCGCGGCCUAUCAGCUUGUUGGUGGGGUAAUGGCCUACCAAGGCGACGACGGGUAGCCGACCUGGGAGGUGACCGGCCACACGUGGGACUGAGACACGGCCCAGACUCCUACGGAGGCAGCAGUGGGGAAUAUUGCACAAUGGGACGAAAGCCUGAUGCAGCGACGCCGCGUGAGGAUGACGGCCUUCGGGUUGUAAACCUCUUCAGCGAGGACGAAGCGA
rnacentral:rRNA from 1 species